CAAUAGCGUAUAUUAAAGUUGUUGCAGUUAAAAAGCUCGUAGUUGGAUUUCGGGACGGGCCAGUUGGUCCGCCGCAAGGUGUGUUACUGACUGGUCUGUUCUUCUUCGCAAAGACUGCGUGUGCUCUUCGUUGAGUGUGCGUAGGAUUUACGACGUUUACUUUGAAAAAAUUAGAGUGUUCAAAGCAGGCUAUCGCUUGAAUACAUGAGCAUGGAAUAAUGGAAUAGGACUUUGGUCCUAUUUUGUUGGUUUCUAGGACCGAAGUAAUGAUUAAGAGGGACGAUUGGGGGCAUCCGUAUUUCGUUGUCAGAGGUGAAAUUCUUGGAUUUACGAAAGACGAACAACUGCGAAAGCACUUGCCAAGAGUGUUUUCAUUAA
rnacentral:rRNA from 1 species